AAUAAAUAAAUACUAAGAUAAACUUAUUUUGAAUAUGAUAGGCAAAGUUGUUUGGCUACCCUCCAUCCCCAUUUUGUGUCUGUAUUGUAUUUUUUCUUCUCUCUGUGUUUAGGACAAUACGGGUAUUGGGAGUGAAUCUCCCCUCACUGCAUUUAGUACCCCUUGUUCUAAUCUUGUUGGCACCCACUUUGCAGUUGGCUUCCAUCUUUGCAAAUUGAUGAAUUUCAUUCACCCGUUUGACCAAAGUUUGAAUGUACAUUAAAAAAAAUACCACCAAUAAAGACAUGAAGUAGCCAUAUGAGGCGCACAAAGCGGCUAGGAUUUUUGGAAUUCUGUUCAUCAAUCAAGCUUCUGGAAACUUUUAAGAGUCCUAGACUGUGCUAAUAAUAGCUGCAAACAUCAUGUACUUCACCACUGUGACAGAAGCAGCUCCACAGACCACCUGAAAGCACUUUAUAAACCACAGAUCGAGAACCACUGGGGAAGGGGAAGAGUGAAUUUUUCACCUUUGCUGCUGCUGUUGUUUUGCUGGAGAUAGUUCUCUACAACAUUGGAUUAACAGGGCAGCAACAAAUCUGUUUACAUUGUGAUGAUUAGGAUCAAAAUAGAAAAGAGAAACUUAUUUUUCUCAUCUAAAAUGAACGCUUAGAAUUUCCAGACUAUUGUCCAAUGCUCCGGAAAUUGCAGGCCGUGAAAAAGGCAGAGGAUCUCUUACAGCAUUUUCAUUACAUUUAUUUAAUUCCUGUUCCUCAUGUAAGUGAUUUGUCUUUGUUUGGGGUGGAUAGAAAAGAAUUUUGCUCUGUGGUUCGGUGAGGCUUUUACAAUCAUUCACUGUUCAGACCGGGCUAGGCAGAGAGAUGGUAUAAUGAUUUCACAAAGAGGGUAGGGUUUCGUUUGAUUGAUCAGACCGUAUCAGAUGCCUGUUGAGUAUGAUCCAUCACUUAUAAUACUAUUUUCCCCAAACCACACAAAGGCACUUGUGCUCAAAAUUUGGAAAAUUGUGGAUUGAUCGAAAUCUUUGGUUAUAAUGGAUAACGUUUGCAACUUUAACUAUAGUACACCCAUUUUAUUGUCUCAUUACAGUUAAAUAAGAGCUGGCUUUCUGCUUGGUUGAAAUGUAGUGGACAAAUGUGCCAGGUACUUGCAGCCGCUAACAAAAUUAAGUUGCUACUCCUCGAGCAUUUUCCUUCUAUCUUUACACUUGUGCUACAGCCACAACUCUUAACCUGAAUUUACUGCAAUGUGUUAAUUUUAUAUUCUCCUCGUGUUAGUCUCCGCAAACUUUCCAACAUAUCACAAUAUCUUUUUUCAGUGAUGUGCAUAUAACUUUUGCAAAUGCUCAAAUUAGAUUUACUGGUUGUGAUGCUUUGCCUGUUAGUGUCUGUUUACAUAUGUCAAGCCCGUACACCAAACAAUACCCAGAUGUUAAGACAGAAGAGGAGAUAGAAUGUCAGAGGGAUAUUGGGGCAAAAAGCAAAAGCAGCAGUCAAGGCUAAUUCAGGAUUGCACCAUAUCAAGAGGGUAAAACCAGCCCUGAUUAUACUUGGAUGAGAAAAGGCAGACAGAGGACUUGGCAUCGACUUUGAAGUGUGACUGACGAGAAGCUGAAUGAGAUGAUACCCAUGUGGUAGAACCCUGAGUGUCAGGUUAAAGAUAACAUGUUCCUGAGUCUCCGGUGGUAUGGUAAUGGUAGGUACUAAUAAUUGGGGAAGCACUUCUAAGAACUGUCAGCCCAUAAAAAGGUAAAUUAAAACACUUCUAAACAGUAUUUGAAAUGAGUAAUUAGUGGGAUGACCUGGGUUGCAGGAGAUAAAACUCUCAUAGAUGAUGUCAUGGAGUGAGGGGGAGUCAGGACCCUGCACCCCCACUUCCUGCAAUUCACCGUGACUCUUAGCCAGCCAGUAACACAGAAGGUUUAUUAGAGACGACAGGAACACAGUCCAAACCUGAGCUUGUAGGCACAGACAGGACCCCACAGUCAGGACCUUCUGGUGGGGGCGGGGAGAUUAAAACCCCAGACCUGGGGCUCCCUCCUCUUCCCCAGCCAACUCCAAACUGAAACCCACACCAGCCAUCUCACCCAGCCUCCCCCCAGCUCCUCCUCCAGCCUUUGUCCAGUUUCCCGGGCAGGAGGUGUCACUGGGCCCCAACCCCCUGGCUCAGGUAUCUUCCCUCAAGGGAAGUCUCCCAUCCCCAAUGCAGACAGUCCCUGUGAAACUCUCCUCGCUGUGCUGCGGUGAUCCAGGUGCCAACGUGUCAUUGCAUCUAUGUUCCAUGAAAAAUGUGCAGCUGUAACAAAACCAUCUUCUGUGGUUUUCCAUAUUAAACAU